AACCUUAUGGACCUGCGGGCGUAUACCUGCGGAGGGAUCAUUACAGAGUUGCAAAACUCCCCAAACCAUUGUGAACCUUACCUUCAAACGUUGCUUCGGCGGGCGGGCCACAGCGCCCCCCGGGCCCCCCCAGCGGGGGCGCCCGCCGGAGGAUACCCAAACUCUUGAUACUUUAUGGCCUCUCUGAGUCUUCUGUACUGAAUAAGUCAAAACUUUUAGCAACGGAUCUCAGAUCGGAAG
rnacentral:misc_RNA from 1 species